rnacentral:rRNA from 1 species
AUGCGGUUGCGAGGUAGUUCACUUCAUUUGUCCCAGACACAUCGGCCAACUGGUUGCCAUGGCCGGUAUGACUACAACAGUUCCCAAGAGCUUGCUGACACAAAAGAUGAACUAGAUGGAGACGCAGGUCUCAGCAAGGAUGACGACGAUGACAUGGAGAACGCGAAAGAGGACACCGAUGAUGAUGAACAUGCUGAAGUUCGUGCAGGUGCUAACAAGGGGAAGGAUGCACCAGAUGUCCCUCACCGGAGAAAGUCAAAGAACAUACGACUGCGAGAGGCGAGGGGGUGUUUCCAUCAAAGAGGGGGAGGGCUCGAGAGGAUGUUGGGCAGGGUUCUCCUGGUGAAGAAGACUACUACACGCGCGGUCAAUACAUCGGGGAGUGACGAGUCGGUAUCUGCAAGGACAGCUGAAAUAUUGCCCACUCUUCUGGCAAUGAAGGAUGCUGUUGUGAGCCAUGCCACCCCAUCAGGAAGUGUUGAAGUGGAUGCCCCCGAGACCAACCUAAGAAAGGAAGAUUCCCGCUCAUAUGACACUGAUUCCAAGCGCGUACGUGGUGCCACUGAUGUGUAUACGAUAGAAGUGGCUGAGGUGGCAGUUCAUAAUGAUAUGCCAUCUGCGGGUGAGAGUCUUGGCACAACAGCUCCAGCUCCUGGCGGUGCAGAUAUUGCUCAGGCCACUGUUCCGCGUGCUGGUCUUCCACCUAGGCGUCGUAGCCCCUGCAAGCAAUCAACAGUCGUAUCCAACGCACCAGCUGCAGCUAGGAGCAGCAGAGAUGAGUAUGGUUACAUCCCUGCGUCCACACUGUUCCCGCCAACUGCCAAAAGCAAUGUUAUGGAGAAACCAGAAGACUAG